GACGAACGCUGGCGGCGUGCUUAACACAUGCAAGUCGAACGAAGUGGCGAACGGGUGAGUAACGCGUAAUCAACCUGCCCUUCAGAGGGGGACAACAGUUGGAAACGACUGCUAAUACCGCAUACUGAAGGAGGGGAUUGCGUCUGAUUGGCUAGUGGGAGGGGUAACGGCCCACCAAGGCGAUGAUCAGGAGGCGGGCUGAGGGGGUGGACGGCCCCAAUGGGACUGGGAAACGGCCCAGAAUCCUACGGGAGGCAGCAGUGGGGGAUCUUCCGCAAUGGACGAAAGUCUGACGGAGCAACGCCGCGGGAGUGAUGACGGCCUUCGGGUUGUAAAGCUCUGUUAAUCGGGACGCGGUACCGGAAUAGAAAGCCACGGCUAACUACGUGCCAGCAUCCGCGGUAAUAC
rnacentral:rRNA from 1 species